GUUAUUCGCUUGGGACCGGACGUAGCACGCGAGAGAACGAGAGAAUGAGAAAGAAAGAGAAAGAUAAAGAUAAAGAGAAAGAGAAAAAGAGAGAGAAGAUGGGAGAGGGACGACUCGAGUCUCUUGGUGUGGCGGAAUCCGUAAAUUGGCCUCGAAAUAGUAUCGUGUCGCGUGUGCGAGAAAGAGAUAGAGUCGGACUACACCUUGCGUAAAUCUCGUGCGCGGGUCAGGGACCAGGAUUCCUUUCUCGGAGCAAAGCAAAAGAAGGAGAAGAAGGAGAAGAAGAAGAUGAAGAAGAUGAAAAAGAAGGAGAAGAAGAACAAGGAGAAGAAGAAGAAGAAGUGGGAAAGGAAGAAAGAAACGAGACAGUGUUAACCCUCCAACCAACUCAACGAACGUUAAUCUCCCUUUUACGAGCUUCUUUCAGUUUUACCAAAGUAGAAUCAACGGAAUUAAGCUAUCCGUUAACUCUAUUCGCGAAUAUAACAACGAAAGUAUGAAAGGAAAUAAAUAUAGAUUCAUACGUCGUCGUUGCUUCA